rnacentral:rRNA from 1 species
AGCGAACGCUGGCGGCAGGCCUAAUACAUGCAAGUCGAACGGCCCUUCGGGGCAGUGGCGGACGGGUGAGUAACACGUGGGAACGUGCCCUUUGGUACGGAACAACUGAGGGAAACUUCAGCUAAUACCGUAUGUGCCCUUCGGGGGAAAGAUUUAUCGCCAUUGGAGCGGCCCGCGUUGGAUUAGCUAGUUGGUGGGGUAAAGGCCCACCAAGGCUACGAUCCAUAGCUGGUCUGAGAGGAUGAUCAGCCACACUGGGACUGAGACACGGCCCAGACUCCUACGGGAGGCAGCAGUAGGGAAUCUUGCGCAAUGGGCGAAAGCCUGACGCAGCCGUGCCGCGUGAAUGAUGAAGGUUUUAGGAUUGUAAAAUUCUUUCACCGGGGAAGAUAAUGACGGUACCCGGAGAAGAAGCCCCGGCUAACUUCGUGCCAGCAGCCGCCGUAA